GUGGGGAAUAUUGGACAAUGGGCGAAAGCCUGAUCCAGCCAUGCCGCGUGUGUGAAGAAGGUCUUCGGAUUGUAAAGCACUUUAAGUUGGGAGGAAGGGCAGUAAGUUAAUACCUUGCUGUUUUGACGUUACCGACAGAAUAAGCACCGGCUAACUUCGUGCCAGCAGCCGCGGUAAUACGAAGGGUGCAAGCGUUAAUCGGAAUUACUGGGCGUAAAGCGCGCGUAGGUGGUUUUGUAAGUUGGAGGUGAAAUCCCCGGGCUCAACCUGGGAACUGCCCCCAAAACUGCAUGACUAGAGUACGGUAGAGGGUAGUGGAAUUUCCUGUGUAGCGGUGAAAUGCGUAGAUAUAGGAAGGAACACCAGUGGCGAAGGCGACUACCUGGACUGAUACUGACACUGAGGUGCGAAAGCGUGGGGAGCAAACAGGAUUAGAAACCCUUGUAGUCC
rnacentral:rRNA from 1 species